rnacentral:lncRNA from 1 species
CCUGGCCCUCCCCCUGAGCUCUCGGAUAGGUGGAGCCGCUCUCUGGCCCGCCUCUUUCCCGCCCUGUGCUGCAGCCGGUUGGCCCAGGUGCGUGUCGGGUUGGGCUACUCGGCCCCGGCGCUCGCCCCCGGGAAGGCAGCAGGGGCGGUUGAGAAGUGAAGUCUUGGCCAGAGUUUGCUUCUUGCCAGGAAAUCCGCGGUGGUGGCAGCGGCGGCGGUUCCCCGCGGAGCGGAGGCCGGCUGGCUCCCCGCUCCCUCAGCGGGCCGCGGAGAGCGGACCUGGCGUUGGGCUGCGGCACCGGGAGCCGGUGUGCGCCCUGGGCGGCCGCGCUUUCCCAACUUGAGAUUGUUAUUAACCACGUGCUGUGUCAGGCAUGCUACAAGAUGCUGGGCCUGUGAAUAAUGUAAGACAUGCUACCUGGCUUUUAAGGGAUGCCCAGUAGGGAAGGCACAUCUGGGCAAGUGAUUGCUCACUACAGCAAUGAAGGGCAUAAUGAAAUAAUAAUAAAAUGGUGGCUCAAGGGACAGAAUGAGUGAUUUUGUUUGGGUGGAUGAGAAACAGCUUUUAGCAGAGGGUUCACUUGAGCUGGGCAUUAAAGGGACAGGGGAUCUGCAGGUCAACAAGGUAGGAGAGGACAUUCCAAGCAAAGGGACUAGCAUGCUGAGGUCAGGAAGUUGUGAGUAGUUUGGCAUAGCCAAAGGGUGGAAUGUGUAGAAUUGUGUCAGGAAAUGAAACUAGAGGAGCCAGGUCUGGAAGGUUUAAGUCCCAGGUUGAAGAAUUGGCUUUCCUUUUGUAGAAGCAGUUGGGGGUUGCAGAAGAAUGUGAAGAAAAUAAGAUCACUGUCUUGGGGAUGCUAGUGUUGUAAAGGGUAGCUAGGAGAAGAGGAGCAUGCCUGAAACCCUUUUGAGUGAUGGCUAAGAGAACAGGUGCCACAAAUAACUGCAGUCUAAUUUGGGAGUAGUGGUGGGAUGGAUGGAGGCUAGAGGACGCCCAAGUUAACAUGUUCUGGAGGGGGAGUCGGUGGGAACUUGGUGACUGGGUGUGGAAAAUGAAGCAGAGAGUGAGAAAGAAACAGGAUUCUUUGGUUCUAGUUAUAGGGUGCUGGGAGUCUAGAAGUGCCAUUAGGAAGUGCUGUAAUA